rnacentral:rRNA from 1 species
UACGGAGGGUGCAAGCGUUAUCCGGAUUUAUUGGGUUUAAAGGGUCCGUAGGUGGGCUGAUAAGUCAGCGGUGAAAUCCUGCAGCUUAACUGUAGAACUGCCGUUGAUACUGUUAGUCUUGAGUGUAUUUGAAGUGGCUGGAAUAAGUAGUGUAGCGGUGAAAUGCAUAGAUAUUACUUAGAACACCAAUGGCGAAGGCAGGUCACUAAGAUACAACUGACGCUGAGGGACGAAAGCGUGGGGAGCGAACAGG